UUAAAGAAAGCGUAAUAGCUCACUAGUCGAGUCGGCCUGCGCGGAAGAUGUAACGGGGCUAAGCAAUACACCGAAGCUGCGGCAAUGUCUUUUAGACAUUGGGUAGGGGAGCGUUCUGUAAGCCGUUGAAGGUGAAUCGUAAGGUUUGCUGGAGGUAUCAGAAGUGCGAAUGCUGACAUGAGUAACGACAAAGGGGGUGAAAAACCUCCUCGCCGGAAGACCAAGGGUUCCUGUCCAACGUUAAUCGGGGCAGGGUGAGUCGACCCCUAAGGUGAGGCCGAAAGGCGUAAUCGAUGGGAAACGGGUUAAUAUUCCCGUACUUCUGACUAUUGCGAUGGGGGGACGGAGAAGGCUAGGUGGGCCAGGCGACGGUUGUCCUGGUUCAAGUGCGUAGGCUUGAGAGUUAGGUAAAUCCGGCUCUCUCUAAGGCUGAGACACGACGUCGAGCUACUACGGUAGUGAAGUCAUUGAUGCCAUGCUUCCAGGAAAAGCCUCUAAGCUUCAGAUAGUCAGGAAUCGUACCCCAAACCGACACAGGUGGUCGGGUAGAGAAUACCAAGGCGCUUGAGAGAACUCGGGUGAAGGAACUAGGCAAAAUGGUACCGUAACUUCGGGAGAAGGUACGCUCUUGAUGGUGAAGUCCCUCGCGGAUGGAGCUGACGAGAGUCGCAGAUACCAGGUGGCUGCAACUGUUUAUUAAAAACACAGCACUGUGCAAAAUCGCAAGAUGACGUAUACGGUGUGACGCCUGCCCGGUGCCGGAAGGUUAAUUGAUGGGGUUAGCGCAAGCGAAGCUCUUGAUCGAAGCCCCGGUAAACGGCGGCCGUAACUAUAACGGUCCUAAGGUAGCGAAAUUCCUUGUCGGGUAAGUUCCGACCUGCACGAAUGGCGUAAUGAUGGCCACGCUGUCUCCACCCGAGACUCAGUGAAAUUGAAAUCGCUGUGAAGAUGCAGUGUACCCGCGGCUAGACGGAAAGACCCCGUGAACCUUUACUACAGCUUGGCACUGAACAUUGAACCUACAUGUGUAGGAUAGGUGGGAGGCUAUGAAGACGUGACGCCAGUUGCGUUGGAGCCGUCCUUGAAAUACCACCCUUGUAUGUUUGAUGUUCUAACUUAGACCCAUUAUCUGGGUUGAGGACAGUGCCUGGUGGGUAGUUUGACUGGGGCGGUCUCCUCCCAAAGAGUAACGGAGGAGCACGAAGGUGGGCUAAUCACGGUUGGACAUCGUGAGGUUAGUGCAAUGGCAUAAGCCCGCUUAACUGCGAGAAUGACGGUUCGAGCAGGUGCGAAAGCAGGUCAUAGUGAUCCGGUGGUUCUGUAUGGAAGGGCCAUCGCUCAACGGAUAAAAGGUACUCCGGGGAUAACAGGCUGAUACCGCCCAAGAGUUCAUAUCGACGGCGGUGUUUGGCACCUCGAUGUCGGCUCAUCACAUCCUGGGGCUGAAGUCGGUCCCAAGGGUAUGGCUGUUCGCCAUUUAAAGUGGUACGCGAGCUGGGUUUAGAACGUCGUGAGACAGUUCGGUCCCUAUCUGCCGUGGGCGUUGGAAGAUUGAAGGGGGCUGCUCCUAGUACGAGAGGACCGGAGUGGACGAACCUCUGGUGUUCGGGUUGUGUCGCCAGACGCAUUGCCCGGUAGCUAAGUUCGGAAUUGAUAAGCGCUGAAAGCAUCUAAGCGCGAAGCGAGCCCUGAGAUGAGUCUUCCCUGACAGUUUAACUGUCCUAAAGGGUUGUUCGAGACUAGAACGUUGAUAGGCAGGGUGUGUAAGCGUUGUGAGGCGUUGAGCUAACCUGUACUAAUUGCCCGUGAGGCUUAACCAUACAACACCCAAGGGGUUUUGUA
rnacentral:rRNA from 1 species